CACCCAGAGGCUGAUGCUCACCAUGGGGCGCCUGCAACUGGUUGUGUUGGGCCUCACCUGCUGCUGGGCAGUGGCGAGUGCCGCGAAGACCCCAUGCUGCACUAUGUGGGCUUCGUCCCUGUCAUUGAUGGAGACUUCAUCCCCGCUGACCCGAUCAACCUGUACGCCAACGCCGCCGACAUCGACUAUAUAGCAGGCACCAACAACAUGGACGGCCACAUCUUCGCCAGCAUCGACAUGCCUGCCAUCAACAAGGGCAACAAGAAAGUCACGGAGGAGGACUUCUACAAGCUGGUCAGUGAGUUCACAAUCACCAAGGGGCUCAGAGGCGCCAAGACGACCUUUGAUGUCUACACCGAGUCCUGGGCCCAGGACCCAUCCCAGGAGAAUAAGAAGAAGACUGUGGUGGACUUUGAGACCGAUGUCCUCUUCCUGGUGCCCACCGAGAUUGCCCUAGCCCAGCACAGAGCCAAUGCCAAGAGUGCCAAGACCUACGCCUACCUGUUUUCCCAUCCCUCUCGGAUGCCCGUCUACCCCAAAUGGGUGGGGGCCGACCAUAGAGAUGAGAUCCAGUACAUCUUUGGGGAGCCCUUUGCCACCCCACUCCGGGCUACCGGCCCCAAGACAGGACAGUCUCUAAGGCUAUGACCGCCUACUGGACCAACUUUGCCAAAACAGGGGACCCCAACAUGGGCCACUCGGCUGUGCCCACACACUGGGAACCCUACACUACGGAAAACAGCGGCUACCUGGAGAUCACCAAGAAGAUGGGCAGCAGCUCCAUGAAGCGGAGCCUGAGAACCAACUUCCUGCGCUACUGGACCCUCACCUAUCUGGCGCUGCCCACAGUGACCGACCAGGAGGCCAGUUCCAUGCCCUCCACAGGGGACUCUGAGGCCACUCCCGUCUCCCCCGACAGGCAACUCCGAGUCUGCCCCCGUCCCUGCAACGGGUGACUCUCAGGAUGCCCCUGUGCCCCUCACAA